CGUGGUGAUCUGGUUCGGUAAGCCUAUAAAAAUCAAGGUGUUAGAAAAUAUGCACUGCGUUCGGGACGCAGGGGUCGCAGGUUCGAAUCCUGCCACUCCGACCA
rnacentral:tRNA from 1 species